rnacentral:rRNA from 1 species
AAGCAGGUUACCAACGCAGAGUGUGGAUGCCUUGACUUAUGCAAGCGAAGAAGGACGUAGGAGGCUGCGAAAAGCCUCGGGGAGCUGUCAACCAAGCUGUGAUCCGGGGAUAUCCGAAUGGGGCAACCCUCCCGUAGCGAUACGGGAACGAUAGUCUGAAUUCAUAGGGCUAUCGAGCAAACCCAGUGAAUUGAAACAUCUUAGUAGCUGGAGGAAAAGAAAUUAAUAAAGAUUCCGUCAGUAGUGGCGAGCGAACGCGGAAAAGCCUAAACCACCGAGCUUGCUCGAGUGGGGUUGCAGGGCUGAUGGACUCGAUCGAUCGGGGUCACGUACGAAUGUUAGGAGAACGUUCUGGAAAGAACGACCAGAGGGGGUAAUAGUCCCGUAUCCGAAAACAUACCGUACCUGAUGCAUCAGUUCCUAAGUAGGGCGGGGCCGGAGAAACCCCGUUUGAAUCCGGGAGCACUAACUUCCAAGGCUAAACAUUGCAUAAGAUCGAUAGCGAACUAGUACCGUGAGGGAAAGGUGAAAAGCAUCCCGAAAGGGAGGUGAAAUAGAACUGAAACUCUCUGCUAACAAAGAGUCGGAGCCCGGAGCAAUCCGGGUGACGGCGUGCUUUUUGCAGCACGAUCCAACGAG